AGUGAACGCUGGCGGUAGGCCUAACACAUGCAAGUCGAACGGCAGCACAGUAAGAGCUUGCUCUUACGGGUGGCGAGUGGCGGACGGGUGAGGAAUACAUCGGAAUCUACUUUUUCGUGGGGGAUAACGUAGGGAAACUUACGCUAAUACCGCAUACGACCUACGGGUGAAAGCAGGGGAUCUUCGGACCUUGCGCGAUUGAAUGAGCCGAUGUCGGAUUAGCUAGUUGGCGGGGUAAAGGCCCACCAAGGCGACGAUCCGUAGCUGGUCUGAGAGGAUGAUCGCCCACCCUGGAACUGGGACCCGGCCCAGCCCCCUACGGGGGGCAGCGGGGGGGAUUUUUGGACAAGGGGCGCAAGCCUGACCCAGCCAUCCCGCGGGGGUGAAGAAGGCCUUCGGGUUGUAAAGCCCUUUUUUUGGGAAAGAAAAGCAGCAGGUUAAUCCCCCGCUUUUCUGACGGUACCCAAAGAAUAAGCCCCGGCUAACUUCGU
rnacentral:rRNA from 1 species